rnacentral:rRNA from 1 species
CAUGUCUUUUUGAUUUUGAUUUAAAGUCUGACCUGCCCAAUGAUGAGAUUUAAUGGCCGCAGUAUUUUGACUGUGCAAAGGUAGCAUAAUCAUUAGUUUUUUAAUUGAAAGCUGGAAUGAAUGGUUUGAUAAAAAAAAAUCUGUCUCAAUUUUAAUAAUUGAAUUUUAUUUUUAAGUUAAAAAGCUUAAAUAUAUUAAAAAGACGAGAAGACCCUAUAGAGUUUUAUAUUUUAAUGUUAAUUAUUAGUAAGAUAUUUAAUAUAAUUAAUUUAUAAAAUAUUUUAUUGGGGUGAUAUGAAAAUUUAAUUAACUUUUUAUUAUGAUGACAUUGAUUUAUGAGAAUUUGAUCUUAAUUUUUAGAUUAUAAGAAAUAAUUACCUUAGGGAUAACAGCGUAAUUUUUUUUGAGAGUUCUAAUCGAAAAAAAAGAUUGCGACCUCGAUGUUGGAUUAAA